rnacentral:tRNA from 1 species
GGAGGGGUGGCCGAGUGGUUGAAGGCACCGGUCUGAAAACCGGCAGGCGUGCAAGCGCCUCGUGGGUUCGAAUCCCACCCCCUCCG